GCAGUUUAUGCGGCUGCUGUGGCAAAAGUUGGCCAGCCGACAGCAGCAGCGGAAACGUUGGCCUGGCUUUUAAGCCAGCUUUCUUUUUCUGUGUUGUUUCGCCCAUUCUUAAGAGCAGUCAGCCCAGCCCAGAGUCGCCGCCGCGUCUUAAUAGCAUCAUCAUCUUUUCAUCUACGAGGCAGGCAUCAGGCCAGAGCUCCUCCAUUCUACAAAGUCUCUCUCUUAGCUACAACUGCAGCAGCCGCCGUUCCACACUCCAGUCCCGACUCUUCAGUGUGUUGUUUGCUUUAUUUGGUCUUCCACGCUGUAAAGUCGUUUUUUCUUUCUUUCUUUCUUUUUCUUUCGUUCAUUUUCAUCUUUGUUUUUGGUUGUGGCUCUCCCGCAUUCUUGGCCACAUCCUUCACAAGGUCAUGCCAACAGACAGGCGCGACUACAGAGGUGGAAUGAUAAAAAAAAGAAUCUAGCAAAAUGUGCAAACAAAUGUGGAAACAUACAUACGCAUUCGUACUUGCCAUGGCUAUGGGUACUCCAAGUGGUAUGGUAUAUAUUUUUGUAUAAAUCGUAUUUAAGCAAAGUAAUCUUUAAGCAAAUAAUUGUUGUCCCGGUGUAUGCGGUUUCUGUUUGACUGACUCGCUGCCAUGGCAUGGCAUGCCCACUUCCCCAUUCCCAUUCCCAUUCCCAUUCCCUGUUGUUGUCAUCGUCAUCACUUUUGUAGACACACACGGCAACACACAGUCCACACACAGAUGCACGCCCCAACACAUGCCCCAUUCGCGCCCAUCGCCCAUGCCCCAUGUGUGCACAAAUUGUUAGCGACUCUCUGCCACAGAGCCGAGAUACAGUUUGUUUGGUUCGCUUUUUUUUUGUGCCAUGCCCCCGAGCCAUGUUAAAAAAUAAAAACCAACAGAGACAGAGAGAGAGAGAGCAAAAACAAAAGAUACAUUUAAUGCAGAGCUGGAAGAUUGAAUGAUGCCAGGAGAUGCUCCUGCUUCAGGUCCUGCUGCUCCUGCUCCUGCUCCUGCUUAUGUUGAUGGUUAAACUGGCUGUUAAAUUACCACAGUGCUUGCGGGUUGGUUUGUUUUUUGUUACCCCUUUGACCCCUUCGAGGAACAUCUGGGGGUUGCACAAAGGGUUUGAUCUGCAUGCCAUUUUGAGCGCUUAAAUUUGAGGAGAAAGUUGGUUUUCUUUUGUUCAAAAACUGCCUAAAUAUAAUGCAUAUUAGAAUAAUUUUUAGUCUCCCCGAAACACCUCAAGAUCGGUAUCUUUAGCAGCCUUUAAACUUCUUAAAAUAUUCAUUAAUUUCGCUGCUAAAUAUUCAAUGGGAAAUAAUAAUGGAACUGGCCAUAAAACUUCUAUAAAUGAGCAACUUUUGUUAUUUUUGUUACCCAAAAAAUAUGUUUGUCUCAAUCACAUUUCACCUCCCACAGAUCUUCCUUAACCAUCUACCGACCUGCUCUAAUCAUCGCACCUUUAACAACUAUUCCACGUAUGACACCCCAAAGAUGACAUCGAAAUACCUAUUCCUUAUCCAUUUCCCCCUCUUCGUCUUAUAUUUUUGGGGUGUUAAUAAGAUAUCAAAUAUGCAUGCGGCGGCCAUUCUACGGACAAGUAUGCCCAGGCAGGCCACAAGCCAAAGAUACAAACGCGCAGACCCAAACGCUAAACCCAAAUCCCAGUGCCCAGUGCCAGAGGCAGUGGCAGUGCACAGUCCCCGCAUUCGAGUCGUCUCUCAAUUCCAAUUCCAAUUCCAAUUCCAAUACCACGACGAGACCCAGUUCCGAGACUCAGACUUUGGCCCGUGGCCGGCGCGAGAGUCUCGCUAACGAGGCGCGUUUGAAAAUGCAGCAUAAGAAAAAUAAAUAAACCAACCAAACAUCAAGAGCAUCGAGAGACACACACGAACCGAAGCAGAAAAUACCCUAAAUAUUCCACUUUUUUGGAUCACAUAUUCAUUGAAUUUGAACUUCUAUCAGAGUUUUGUAUGCCUCAUGAAAAAUGAGAAGUAAGUUCAUUCGAGGAGUAAGUUCCAAACGAUAAACAACUAAAUUUUCAGUUUUUUAGGAAAAGCCCCAAUACCGUAAUUAAAUUCUUUAAAAAAAAAAACUAGUAUUAAAAAGUUUGUAAUUUUGAGUUUUGUAAUUUUCAAUAUUUAAUUUAAAUCUUAACCCGUGCCACAGUUCCCCUUGAACCCUUGGACAACAUUCUGGCGCGGGCUUCGGUCCGUAUCGUCUGUGACCCCCUUUGGAUGUAACUCAAAACUGGAACUAUUCCUCGGGUGUAAACUCACGGAAUUUGUAAUUGAGGCUCACCUGCUGCUGCCGAGGACUUUAACAACAGGACCUUUAACGAAAGGUUCUUCGACAUACAAGUUAUCAGUGCACUGCUGUAUUUAUAUAUUUUUAUACCGUC
rnacentral:lncRNA from 1 species